rnacentral:lncRNA from 1 species
CAGGCAUGAGCCACUGUGCCUGGCCUAAACCUGGUGAUUCUUGAGGCAUCUCUUUGUUCUCUGUUGCUAAAUUUUUGUGGUAACUGGACAAGAGAAACAGGUAAGGCCUGAGAAGUUUAUGAUGACUAAGAACCCAGACCCUGCAGAUAUGACAUUCUGCAUUUAGUAGCUACCCAGAUCUUCAGAAGCACUAGUUAAAGGUGAAUCUAGAAAUCAUAAUGGAAGAGAGAAACAAUGAAUAUCAUUUAUGACUUCUGACUAGCUAUAGUGCAUGGGCUGUAGUUUGUCUCAUUUACUGUCCUUUUUGUGUUUUUCCAGGGAUUCUAGAGGAGCUGAUUCCAGAACUUAAUACACUCAUGCACCGCAUAAUGACGUUUUGAUAAAUGAUGGGCCGCCUAUACAAUGGUGGUGCCGUAAGAUUAUAGUACUGAAUUUUUACUGUACCUUUUUUUUAAUGUUUAGAUUCACAAAUACCAUUGUGUGACAAUUGACUACAAUAUUCAAUACAAUAACAUGUCGUACAGGUUUGUAGCCCAGGAGCAGUAGACUAUACCAUAUACCCUAGGUGUGUAGUAGGCUAUACAGUCUAGGUUUCCGUAAGUAUGCUCUAUGAUGUUCGUACAAUGAUGAAAUCAUAUAAGGACCCAUUUCUCAGAAUGUAUCCCUGUUGGUAAGGGAUGCAUGACUGUAUAUGAAUCACAAGUAUCUGAAUAGUGCAGGGAGUAGAAUGUUGCAGAUGCCAUUUUAAACCAUCUAUUUCUCUCAUUAGGACUGAAGCUGUUACUCCCCCAACUUCUGGGAGUGUUUUUGGCUGAAAGCUCUCAGUCAGAGCCUUGCUCUGGGAAUUGUCCUCAGCCAAGGAGAGGAAGAGUCAAACUUGACUUUUAAGAAGUGUUGAAGCCCUACAUUCCUUGAAAAAUUAUGCCGAAUAUCACCUGUACCUUUCAUUUUAUGGAUUGCAAAGGAAGUAGUUUACCAUGUGAUGUAAGUUAGAGGAUUGAAGAUUGCCCUUUGACUCUUGUGAUCAAUGAGAAAGUUUGCCGAAGGAUUGCUGAGUAUGUGCAAGAGACAUUUAUUGAAGAGCAGCUUUGCUUUUACUUCUAAACAACUUCUAAGAAAGAGAAUUUGUGGAUUAGAUUAUGCUAUUUUAUGCAAACACCAAUGUGAUCAGCAGUCAAUGCUAUCACAGGAAGUCCUUAAUAAAAACUUGUGUAAAGGCACUCUUCUCACUCUGAGCUUUCACUGAAUAUGACCUCCCACACUCAUGGCUUCACUGGCCAUCAUAUGAUUUAUACCAUGACCCACGUAUAACUGCUUCUCACUCUCUUGUCUGUGGGACCAAGGCAUCGCUCCUGCUGCUUAUCCGACAUUUCAUCUUGGAUGGUCCAAAGGCAUCUCAAACUCAAUGUAUUCAAGAUGUGGUCUUCUACCUCAUAUAAGAGAUUUAUUUAAUCCUGCCAAUUUUAUUGACUAGCAGCAUGGUUCAUCUGGUUGCUCAAGUCAGAUAUAUCACAUAUAAGCUUCUCUUUCAAGUCCCAUUGAUUUCACCUCUAAAAUAAUACAUGCAGAAAUCCCCAUGAUAUGCAAAUCCUGUUGGCUCUCCCUCCUAAAUAAUUUACAUAAGUUGACUCCAGCACCCAAACCUAGUCCAGGGUGUCAUCAUCUCUUUCCCCGGACAACCCUCAUUACCUUCGAAAUGGUUUACCAUUUUCUACAUUUGCUCCCCUCCCAUCCUUAGUUAUUUUACAUGUCCUAGUUUUCUGUAGGAGCACUUGAUCAACAUCUGUCUACCUCUGAAAGGUAAAUUCUAUAGAGUCAGGAAACUUGCUUGUUUGUCCCAGGUUUGUAUCCCUAGGACCUUGCGAUUGCAUUUCCAUCCUGCUUCACGUACCCUAAAUUCUGGAAGACAAUUUCAUACGUGUGGCUAUGAAUGUUUUUUUCAGUGCAGCAUCUUUGGAAUAACCUCUCAGCUCUUAAAGGUAACUAUUUUAAGUUGGGCAUCACAUAUUAAGACAAAAACAUUUUGCUAUGUGUGUUUAAAAAAAUCAUUUCCCUGCCGUUUUUGGUAGUUACACCUGUAGU